AUUGAACGCUGGCGGCAUGCCUUACACAUGCAAGUCGAACGGCAGCACGGGAGCAAUCCUGGUGGCGAGUGGCGAACGGGUGAGUAAUAUAUCGGAACGUGCCCAGUCGUGGGGGAUAACGUAGCGAAAGCUACGCUAAUACCGCAUACGAUCCAUGGAUGAAAGAGGGGGAUCGCAAGACCUCGCGCGAUUGGAGCGGCCGAUAUAAGAUUAGCUAGUUGGUGGGGUAAAAGCCCACCAAGGCGACGAUCGGUAGCUGGUCUGAGAGGACGACCAGCCACACUGGAACUGAGACACGGUCCAGACUCCUACGGGAGGCAGCAGUGGGGAAUUUUGGACAAUGGGAGAAAGCCUGAUCCAGCAAUGCCGCGUGCAGGACGAAGGCCUUCGGGUUGUAAACUGCUUUUGUACGGAGCGAAACGGUCCUCUCUAAUACAGGGGGCUAAUGACGGUACCGUAAGAAUAAGCACCGGCUAACUACGUGCCAGCCGCCGCAGUAA
rnacentral:rRNA from 1 species